ACGGAAGGCAGCAGUGGGGAAUAUUGCACAAUGGGCGAAAGCCUGAUGCAGCGACGCCGCGUGAGCGAAGAAGUAUCUCGGUAUGUAAAGCUCUAUCAGCAGGGAAGAAAAUGACGGUACCUGACUAAGAAGCCCCGGCUAACUACGUGCCAGCAGCCGCGGUAAUACGUAGGGGGCAAGCGUUAUCCGGAUUUACUGGGUGUAAAGGGAGCGUAGACGGUUUGGCAAGUCUGAAGUGAAAUGCGGGGGCUCAACUCCUGAACUGCUUUGGAAACUGUCGAACUAGAGUGCAGGAGAGGUAAGUGGAAUUCCUAGUGUAGCGGUGAAAUGCGUAGAUAUUAGGAGGAACACCAGUGGCGAAGGCGGCUUACUGGACUGUAACUGACGUUGAGGCUCGAAAGCGUGGGGAGCAAACAGGAUUAGAUACCCUGGUA
rnacentral:rRNA from 2 species